GGAUGUGACUCAGAAUGGAUAAGGUGUCUGACUUCGGAUCAGAAGAUUGAGGGUUCGAGUCCCUUCGUGGUCG
rnacentral:tRNA from 1 species